rnacentral:misc_RNA from 1 species
GAAAUGCGAUAAGUAAUGUGAAUUGCAGAAUUCAGUGAAUCAUCGAAUCUUUGAACGCACAUUGCGCCCUCUGGCAUUCCGGGGGGCAUGCCCGUUCGAGCGUCAUUAACACCCAUCAAGCCUGGCUUGGUCUUGGGCGACGGGACCUCCCCGCGCCCCGAUUUCGCCGGCUGGACGACCCCGCACUCUCAGCGUUGUGACGCACUGUCGCUGUCGAGGCGGGCGGCCACGCCGUUAACCCCAAUCAAAUCAAGUUGACCUCGGAUCGGGUAGGAAUACCCGCUGAACUUAA